UGGUGGGAUGGCUCCACGCGUUGCAGAGAAAGGGUUUGGUUGUAGGAGGGCGAGGGAGAGGGCAAGAGGAGUCUAAAGCUCACCGAGGGGAAAAGGUCGGAGCCAAACGAGUGUUCUGCCAAUAAUCUUUACACAAGCCAACCCCCGAGCCCAGGGAAAGACUCAGAGGCGAACAGCGACCUGUUUUGACAUUAAUAACAGUUAUGAAACCGCGUCGAAGUAAAUACUAGUUGCGGCUCGUGAUCGGCCCAAAAUAGACUUCGCCCCCCCACAUUUUCCCUGAUGCCUGGUGAUGCAUUCGUGUUUGUACUGGUUUCAUCAACCGACCGCAAUUGACAUCCAUUACCCAGAAGACAUCCAAUCACAUUUUGACGUUUCCUUCUCCCUAUCAUAUCAGAAAGGGCCAUGGGAACGGUCUAAAGCCUUGGGGCAACAGAAACUCCUUGAGUAAGUGGAGGGUACCCAAGGUCUUGAUUGUGGCCCACGGCCUUCUGGAUUCUCUGUGAUUUACUGUAACAUGGAUUCCCUGCAAUUAAGACCAGCGUGGAUUCCCCUGAAAACGCGCUCAUCGGUCAGCCGGCUUACCGCUCCGGGACCACACGUUCUCAGCGUGACUCAAUCCUCAAUAACCACCAAGCUGAUCACGGGAGGAACAACACCAUGGAAACCACACCCGGUGAUCCUCUUGACCAAGACCCGAGGGGCCGUUGUGUAACCGGGAUGGACCUGAGCCUCAUGAGCAGGACCGUACUGCAGCUCCUUCCCCCCCUUGGUUGACAUCAAGGGACGCCCGGUCACACCCGGGAAGAGUGGCGGCCGGUGAGGUCAUCUGUGAUUUCAUCGAUCUCAUGAUCCUCUCUUUGCAUUAGUUCCCUUAUUAACAUAAGAUUACUAGACGUAAUGUAGAUAUAGACGUUUGACCCCGGGGGGGGGUCUUGUAUAGCACCUCAAAAUUGAAAACAAAAUGGGAUGGUGAUUAAAAAGAUAAGGUUGUCCCAUCUGCAAAUUAUAAAUACUGAACCUUGUUGUAUAUGACACAUAGCUCAAAGAUGGGCUAUAUAUGUGUGGAUUCUCGCCAUGGAUGCUCUCGCUGCCAGAUUUUUGUAAUUUUGGUUUAGGACGCAAGAAGGACAAUGCGUCAUCAUCCUGUUUUUAACGUGUUCCCUGUGUGAGUCAGAGUCAUUUCCUCCACAAUAUAUAUAUGCAUAUAUAUAUUUAUAAAAUAAAUGUACCAUUGGAAUAGAGUAGCCAACAUUUGGAAACAUCCUAUCAAACCUAAUAUUGUUAGGCAGACUAUUUGGCUGGAGACAAGACUUGGUGGGCUGGGAAAUGCUGUGGGUUUGAUACACACACACCUAACAUAUUGUUACGAAUAUAUGACGACAUUGUUAUUUGUCAAAUAUUUGACAAAUAACAAUUGCCUGUCUGUUGUUUAUGGACCAGUGUCCAUGAGAUGCUUUUAUGACAGUCUGCUGUGUGUGAAAUGUUCCAAAAAUUGCCAAUAACCCAACCUGCCAAAUUAACAUCCUAGUCAUAAUGUCUGUGCCCUUUCCCAUAAUCCUGCGUGUUUUUAUUGGGCGUAUGUACCGUGUGAACGCGUCUCACUAAAUAUAUUUAGCCACACAUUCAAAUAAGCAUCGGCCUUUCCAACGGUUUGCCAUCGCUGGUCUUUACAAUCUGAUAAACAUUGUUCUUAAUCUCCCUGGCUGUUUACUUUGCUGGUGUUCCAGAUAGCCACCGCCGCCGCCGCGGUGUUUCCCUUAAUCCAGGGCCAAUGUCCUACAGAUCCUAAACAGAUACUAGAAAGGGACACAUGCACAGGGACAGAUAAGUGAUGUUCAAUUGAUGUUCCGUGCAUUGCAUAUAACCUUGGCGUUUGUAAUGGCAGUGGGGUGGGGGUGGGGGUUAAUUUAAACACAGUCCCUUGGGAACAUUGGCCCCCAUGUUCUUGUGCAGUAAGAGGUUGUGAGUCAUCCAUUAUGGAGAUGGAACACGCCGUGCCGUCGAUGGAGAAGGAUGCUGGAAAACAGGCUUUUGUUAAUCAAAGUGGUUCCAAUGUAAUUUCCUGAUUCAACAGGGGAAAUGGCCAUGCAUGCAUGUGUGUGACUAUAUCAUAUUUGAAAGCAAACAUAAAUAUUAUUAGAUUAUCGUGCACAGGAUGCAGUUAAGGAUCUUUUAUAUAUUUCUAUAAUUAUUUAUGAAUGUUGAAACUAAUUAUGUUUGUGUUUCAAUCUAAGUUAUACCCUGCCAUUUAUAAAGAUUGUUAUAAAGGGGAAAUCAGAGA